rnacentral:rRNA from 1 species
CUGGAGGACCGAACCGACUACCGUUGAAAAGUUAGCGGAUGACCUGUGGAUCGGAGUGAAAGGCUAAUCAAGCUCGGAGAUAGCUGGUUCUCCUCGAAAGCUAUUUAGGUAGCGCCUCAUGUAUCACUGUAGGGGGUAGAGCACUGUUUCGGCUAGGGGGUCAUCCCGACUUACCAAACCGAUGCAAACUCCGAAUACCUACAAGUGCCGAGCAUGGGAGACACACGGCGGGUGCUAACGUCCGUCGUGAAAAGGGAAACAACCCAGACCGUCAGCUAAGGUCCCAAAGUUAUGGUUAAGUGGGAAACGAUGUGGGAAGGCUUAGACAGCUAGGAGGUUGGCUUAGAAGCAGCCACCCUUUAAAGAAAGCGUAAUAGCUCACUAGUCGAGUCGGCCUGCGCGGAAGAUGUAACGGGGCUCAAACCAUACACCGAAGCUACGGGUAUCACGUAAGUGAUGCGGUAGAGGAGCGUUCUGUAAGCCUGUGAAGGUGAGUUGAGAAGCUUGCUGGAGGUAUCAGAAGUGCGAAUGCUGACAUGAGUAACGACAAUGGGUGUGAAAAACACCCACGCCGAAAGACCAAGGUUUCCUGCGCAACGUUAAUCGACGCAGGGUUAGUCGGUCCCUAAGGCGAGGCUGAAAAGCGUAGUCGAUGGAAAACAGGUUAAUAUUCCUGUACUUCUGGUUAUUGCGAUGGAGGGACGGAGAAGGCUAGGCCAGCUUGGCGUUGGUUGUCCAAGUUUAAGGUGGUAGGCUGGAAUCUUAGGUAAAUCCGGGAUUCUAAGGCCGAGAGCUGAUGACGAGUCAUCUUUUAGAUGACGAAGUGGUUGAUGCCAUGCUUCCAAGAAAAGCUUCUAAGCUUCAGGUAACCAGGAACCGUACCCCAAACCGACACAGGUGGUUGGGUAGAGAAUACCAAGGCGCUUGAGAGAACUCGGGUGAAGGAACUAGGCAAAAUGGCACCGUAACUUCGGGAGAAGGUGCGCCGGUGAGGGUGAAGGACUUGCUCCGUAAGCUCAUGCCGGUCGAAGAUACCAGGCCGCUGCGACUGUUUAUUAAAAACACAGCACUCUGCAAACACGAAAGUGGACGUAUAGGGUGUGACGCCUGCCCGGUGCCGGAAGGUUAAUUGAUGGGGUUAGCUAACGCGAAGCUCUUGAUCGAAGCCCCGGUAAACGGCGGCCGUAACUAUAACGGUCCUAAGGUAGCGAAAUUCCUUGUCGGGUAAGUUCCGACCUGCACGAAUGGCGUAACGAUGGCGGCGCUGUCUCCACCCGAGACUCAGUGAAAUUGAAAUCGCUGUGAAGAUGCAGUGUAUCCGCGGCUAGACGGAAAGACCCCGUGAACCUUUACUAUAGCUUUGCACUGGACUUUGAAUUUGCUUGUGUAGGAUAGGUGGGAGGCUUUGAAGCGUGGACGCCAGUCUGCGUGGAGCCAACCUUGAAAUACCACCCUGGCAACUUUGAGGUUCUAACUCAGGUCCGUUAUCCGGAUCGAGGACAGUGUAUGGUGGGUAGUUUGACUGGGGCGGUCUCCUCCUAAAGAGUAACGGAGGAGUACGAAGGUGCGCUCAGACCGGUCGGAAAUCGGUCGUAGAGUAUAAAGGCAAAAGCGCGCUUGACUGCGAGACAGACACGUCGAGCAGGUACGAAAGUAGGUCUUAGUGAUCCGGUGGUUCUGUAUGGAAGGGCCAUCGCUCAACGGAUAAAAGGUACUCCGGGGAUAACAGGCUGAUACCGCCCAAGAGUUCAUAUCGACGGCGGUGUUUGGCACCUCGAUGUCGGCUCAUCACAUCCUGGGGCUGAAGCCGGUCCCAAGGGUAUGGCUGUUCGCCAUUUAAAGUGGUACGCGAGCUGGGUUUAGAACGUCGUGAGACAGUUCGGUCCCUAUCUGCCGUGGACGUUUGAGAUUUGAGAGGGGCUGCUCCUAGUACGAGAGGACCGGAGUGGACGAACCUCUGGUGUUCCGGUUGUCACGCCAGUGGCAUUGCCGGGUAGCUAUGUUCGGAAUAGAUAACCGCUGAAAGCAUCUAAGCGGGAAACUAGCCUCAAGAUGAGAUCUCAC